GAACUCCACGGGGCGCAGCAGUGGGGGAUAUUGCACAAUGGGGGAAACCCUGAUGCAGCGACGCCGCGUGAGUGAAGAAGUAUUUCGGUACGUAAAGCUCUAUCAGCAGGGAAGAAUAAUGACGGUACCUGACUAAGAAGCCCCGGCUAACUACGUGCCAGCAGCCGCGGUAAUACGUAGGGGGCAAGCGUUAUCCGGAUUUACUGCGUGUAAAGGGAGCGUAGACGGCUGUGCAAGUCUGAAGUGAAAUGCCGGGGCUCAAACCC
rnacentral:rRNA from 1 species